AGUGAACGCUGGCGGUAGGCCUAACACAUGCAAGUCGAACGGCAGCACAGUAAGAGCUUGCUCUUACGGGUGGCGAGUGGCGGACGGGUGAGGAAUACAUCGGAAUCUACUUUUUCGUGGGGGAUAACGUAGGGAAACUUACGCUAAUACCGCAUACGACCUACGGGUGAAAGCAGGGGAUCUUCGGACCUUGCGCGAUUGAAUGGGCCGAUGUCGGAUUAGCUAGUUGGCGGGGUAAAGGCCCACCAAGGCGACGAUCCGUAGCUGGUCUGAGAGGAUGAUCAGCCACACUGGAACUGAGACACGGUCCAGACUCCUACGGGAGGCAGCAGUGGGGAAUAUUGGACAAUGGGCGCAAGCCUGAUCCAGCCAUACCGCGUGGGUGAAGAAGGCCUUCGGGUUGCAAAGCCCUUUUGUUGGGAAAGAAAAGCAGCAGGUUAAUACCCCGCUGUUCUGACGGUACCCAAAGAAUAAGCACCGGCUAACUUCGUG
rnacentral:rRNA from 1 species